AGAAACAUAGAAAGGAGUACACACCAUAAGAGGCUCUAGAUCUCAAAGUCCAAAUAGCGCUAACUCUAUAUCCGAGAAAAUACACACCUAGGGAGACUACUGGGAGACAGGAAAGGCUGAGCAAUCUCUCAAAUUAUCUCUUAGUGCAAGAAGGAGAGAGCUGAGUGUCAUAAAGGACAGCUAGAGAGACUACAUGCCUGGGACUGGGAGGCUACAGGAAAGAAGAUGGG
rnacentral:lncRNA from 1 species